rnacentral:lncRNA from 1 species
AGGGGAGAAGCCCUAUAAAUGUAUGGAGUGUGGAAAGGCCUUCAACCGCAAAUCACACCUUACUCAGCAUCAGCGGAUCCACAGUGGGGAGAAGCCCUACAAGUGCAGCGAGUGUGGAAAGGCCUUCACCCACCGCUCCACUUUUGUCUUGCAUAACAGGAGCCACACUGGAGAGAAACCUUUUGUGUGCAAAGAAUGUGGCAAAGCCUUUCGUGAUAGGCCGGGCUUCAUUCGACACUACAUCAUCCACAGUGGGGAGAAUCCCUAUGAGUGUUUUGAGUGUGGCAAGGUCUUCAAGCACAGAUCAUAUCUUAUGUGGCACCAGCAGACUCACACUGGGGAGAAGCCCUACGAGUGCAGCGAGUGUGGGAAGGCCUUCUGUGAGAGCGCGGCCCUGAUCCACCACUACGUCAUCCACACCGGGGAGAAGCCCUUCGAGUGCCUCGAGUGUGGGAAGGCCUUCAACCACAGGUCCUACCUCAAGAGGCACCAGCGCAUUCAUACUGGAGAGAAGCCUUAUGUGUGCAGUGAGUGUGGGAAGGCCUUCACCCACUGCUCUACUUAUAUCUUGCAUAAAAGGGCCCACACUGGAGAAAAACCCUUUGAGUGCAAAGAAUGUGGGAAAGCCUUUAGCAAUAGGGCAGACCUCAUUCGCCACUUCAGCAUCCACACUGGGGAGAAGCCCUACGAGUGCAUGGAGUGUGGGAAGGCCUUCAACCGCAGGUCAGGCCUCACGAGGCACCAGCGUAUUCAUAGUGGGGAGAAGCCCUAUGAAUGCAUCGAGUGUGGGAAAACCUUUUGCUGGAGCACAAACCUCAUUCGACACUCUAUUAUCCACACUGGAGAGAAGCCCUAUGAGUGCAGUGAGUGUGGAAAGGCCUUCAGCCGCAGCUCAUCCCUCACUCACCAUC